AGAACGAACGCUGGCGGCAUGCCUAAUACAUGCAAGUCGAACGAAGGCUUCGGCCUUAGUGGCGCACGGGUGCGUAACGCGUGGGAAUCUGCCCCUUGGUUCGGAAUAACAGUUGGAAACGACUGCUAAUACCGGAUGAUGACGAAAGUCCAAAGAUUUAUCGCCAAGGGAUGAGCCCGCGUAGGAUUAGCUAGUUGGUGAGGUAAAGGCUCACCAAGGCGACGAUCCUUAGCUGGUCUGAGAGGAUGAUCAGCCACACUGGGACUGAGACACGGCCCAGACUCCUACGGGAGCAGCAGUAAGGAAUAUUGGACAAGUGGGACGAAAGCCUGAUCCGAGCAAUGACCGCGUGAGUGACUGAAGGUCCGUUAGGUGUAAAGCUUACCGUUUACCGAG
rnacentral:rRNA from 1 species